GACGAACGCUGGCGGCGUGCCUAAUACAUGCAAGUAGAACGCUGAAGAGAGGAGCUUGCUCUUCUUGGAUGAGUUGCGAACGGGUGAGUAACGCGUAGGUAACCUGCCUUGUAGCGGGGGAUAACUAUUGGAAACGAUAGCUAAUACCGCAUAACAAUGGAUGACACAUGUUAUUUAUUUGAAAGGGGCAAUUGCUCCACUACAAGAUGGACCUGCGUUGUAUUAGCUAGUAGGUGAGGUAAUGGCUCACCUAGGCGACGAUACAUAGCCGACCUGAGAGGGUGAUCGGCCACACUGGGACUGAGACACGGCCCAGACUCCUACGGGAGGCAGCAGUAGGGAAUCUUCGGCAAUGGGGGCAACCCUGACCGAGCAACGCCGCGUGAGUGAAGAAGGUUUUCGGAUCGUAAAGCUCUGUUGUAAGUCAAGAACGGGUGUGAGAGUGGAAAGUUCACACUGUGACGGUAGCUUACCAGAAAGGGACGGCUAACUACGU
rnacentral:rRNA from 1 species